rnacentral:rRNA from 1 species
UACGUAGGGGGCAAGCGUUGUCCGGAAUCAUUGGGCGUAAAGAGCGCGUAGGCGGCCCAGUAAGUCCGCUCUGAAAGUCAGGGGCUCAACCCCUGAAUGCGGGUGGAUACUGCUGGGCUAGAGUCCGGAAGAGGCGAGUGGAAUUCCUGGUGUAGCGGUGAAAUGCGCAGAUAUCAGGAGGAACACCGGUGGUGUAGACGGCUUACUGGACCAUAACUGACGCUGAGACACGAAAGCGUGGGUAGCAAACAGG